AGUUNNAAUUUGUANAGGAUGCUUUUGGUGAGGUGCCGCCCGAGUUCCCUGGAACGGGACGCCACAGAGGGGGAGAGCCCCGUCUGGCUGGCCACCGAGCCUCUGUAAAGCUCCUUCGACGAGUCGAGUAGUUUGGGAAUGCUGCUCAAAAUGGGAGGUAUAUGUCUUCUAAAGCUAAAUAUUGGCCAGAGACCGAUAGCGCACAAGUAGAGUGAUCGAAAGAUGAAAAGCACCUUGAAAAGAGGGUUAAAUAGUACGUGAAAUUGUUGAAAGGGAAGCGCUUGGGACCAGACUUGGGCGCGGCGGAUCAUCCGGGGUUCUCUCCGGGGCACUUCCCCGCGUCUAGGCCAGCAUCAGUUCGUCGCGGGGGGAAAAGGUUUCGGGAACGUGGCUCCUCCCGGAGUGUUAUACCCCGUGGCAUAAAACCCUGCGGUGGACUGANGACCCCGCAUCUGCAAGGAUGCUGGGGUAAUGGGCACCACCGACACCCCUUGAAAAACGG
rnacentral:rRNA from 1 species